rnacentral:rRNA from 1 species
CUAAUACAUGCAAGUCGAGCGAACAGAUGAGAAGCUUGCUUCUCUGAUGUUAGCGGCGGACGGGUGAGUAACACGUGGGUAACCUACCUAUAAGACUGGGAUAACUCCGGGAAACCGGGGCUAAUACCGGAUAAUAUAUUGAACCGCAUGGUUCAAUGUUGAAAGACGGUUUCGGCUGUCACUUAUAGAUGGACCCGCGCCGUAUUAGCUAGUUGGUAAGGUAACGGCUUACCAAGGCAACGAUACGUAGCCGACCUGAGAGGGUGAUCGGCCACACUGGAACUGAGACACGGUCCAGACUCCUACGGGAGGCAGCAGUAGGGAAUCUUCCGCAAUGGGCGAAAGCCUGACGGAGCAACGCCGCGUGAGUGAUGAAGGUCUUAGGAUCGUAAAGCUCUGUUGUUAGGGAAGAACAAAUUUGUUAGUAACUGAACAAGUCUUGACGGUACCUAACCAGAAAGCCACGGCUAACUACGUGCCAGCAGCCGCGGUAAUACGUAGGUGGCAAGCGUUAUCCGGAAUUAUUGGGCGUAAAGCGCGCGUAGGCGGCGAGAUUAGUCUGAUGUGAAAGCCCCCGGCUCAACCGGGGAAGGUCAUUGGAAACUGUUUCGCUUGAGUGCAGAAGAGGAGAGUGGAAUUCCAUGUGUAGCGGUGAAAUGCGCAGAGAUAUGGAGGAACACCAGUGGCGAAGGCGGC